GGCCCGCACAAGCGGUGGAGUAUGUGGUUUAAUUCGACGCAACGCGCAGAACCUUACCCAGCCUUGACAUCCCUGGAUCGCCAUAGAGAUAUGGUUUUCUCCUUCACGGGAGACCGGGUGACAGGUGCUGCAUGGCUGUCGUCAGCUCGUGUCGUGAGAUGUUCGUUAAGUCCGGUAACGAGCGCAACCCCUAUCGUUAGUUGCCAUCAUUCAGUUGGGCACUUUAGCGAGACUCCCCGGUGUUAAACCGGCGGAAGAUGGGGAUGACGUCAAGUCCUCAUGGCCUUACGGCUGGGCUACACACGUACUACAAUGGUUGGUACAGAGGGCAGCUACCGGGUGACCGGAUGCG
rnacentral:rRNA from 1 species